rnacentral:lncRNA from 1 species
AAUUUUAAAAAAAGGCAACCUAAAAAAAGGGAGGGAAAUGAAAUUUGUGAGGGAAAAAGAAAAAUUUUCAGCACCAAACUUAGCGUCGGCCAAAUCCUUCGCUAUAAAUGAAUUAAUAAAUAAACAAAUAUAUAAAAUAUGCUAGCUUCGGCCACAACCGUCACUAUAUAAAAAAUCAAUAAUUACUUAAAAUAAUAAAAAAAAAAGGAGGCAAACGAAAU